rnacentral:rRNA from 1 species
UACGGGGGGAGCAAGCGUUGUUCGGAUUUACUGGGCGUAAAGGGCGCGUAGGCGGUCGUGACAAGUCACUUGUGAAAUCUCCGGGCUUAACUCGGAACGGUCAAGUGAUACUGUCGGACUAGAGUACAGAAGGGGCAACUGGAAUUCUCGGUGUAGCGGUGAAAUGCGUAGAUAUCGAGAGGAACACCGGUGGCGAAGGCGGCCAACUGGACGAAUACUGACGCUGAGACUCGAAAGCGUGGGGAGCAAACAGG